AACGAACGCUGGCGGCAGGCCUAACACAUGCAAGUCGAACGAGUGGCGGACGGGUGAGUAAUGUCUGGAAAACUGCCUGAUGGAGGGAGAUAACUACUGGAAACGGUAGCUAAUAUUGCAUAACACCGGAUGUGUCCUGAUGGGAUUAGGUAGUAGGUGGGGUAAAGGCUCACCUGGGCGACGAGCCCUAGCCGGUCUGAGAGGAUGACCGGCCAGACUGGAACUGAGACCCGGUCCAGACUCCUACGGGAGUCAGCGGUGGGGAAUAUUGGGCAAUGGGCGCAAGCCUGAUGCAGCCAUGCCGCGUGUAUGAAGAAGGCCUUCGGGUUGUAAAAUGCUUUCAGCGGGGAGGCGUUACCCGCAGAAGAAGCACCGGCUAACUCCGUGCCAGCAGCCGCGGUAAUUC
rnacentral:rRNA from 1 species